UGUUGGCAGUGGCAGGGAUCAGAACCAGGGUGUCCUACAUACAAGGGAUGCGUUCUCCCACUGAGCUACA
rnacentral:tRNA from 1 species